AUGUCAAUAUUCUACAACUUUUACAUACUUUUGGCAACUUUUUAUACUAUUUUUGGGACUAACAUAUUGAUUCAGUGCCCUGUGCUAGUUCCUGUUUGUUGCAUGUUUUUUGUUUCGCAGAAAAUCCAUAUCAAACAGAGUCCAAAUGGGAUAAAAAGUGAUGGAGAUUUUUUUGGAAUAUGUGUGAAUUUUGGGAAGUGGAAUCAACGCGAGACAUUGCUCGAGGGGCCCACGAGGGUGAGGGGCGCGCCCCAGGGGGUCAGACGCGCCCUGGGCCCUCGUGGCCACUCCGUAAGGCGGUUGGUGCCCUUCUUUCGCUGCAAGAAAUCCAAUAUCCAGAUAAAAAUCGUGUCCAAAUUCCAGCCCAAUAGGAGUUACGGAUCCCCGAGAAUUCAAAAAACGGUGAAAGGGCAGAAUCAGGGAGCGCAAAAACAGAGAGAGACAGAGAGACUGAUCCAAUCUCAGAGGGGCUCUCUCCCCUCCGCCACCAUGGAAGCUAUGGACCAGAGGGGAAACCCUUCUCCCAUCUAG
rnacentral:rRNA from 1 species